AGCGAAUAGAUACCCAGGUAGUCCACGCCGUAAACGAUGAACACUAGGUGUAGGUGAUGUGAAAAAGUCAUCUGUACCGAAAGCCAACGCGUUAAGUGUUCCGCCUGGGGAGUACGGCCGCAAGGCUAAAACUCAAAGGAAUUGACGGGGGCCCGGCACAAGCAGCGGAGCGUGUGGUUUAAUUUACGAUGCGACGCGAAGAACCUUACCCACGGUUUGUACAUGUACGUAGUAGUGAAGCGAAAGCGGAACGACCCUUCGGGGUAGGCGUACACAGGUGCUGCAUGGCUGUCGUCAGCUCGUGUCGUGAGAUGUUGGGUUUAAGUCCCGCAACGAGCGCAACCCCUCGUUGCUAGUUACAAGUGUCUAGCAAGACUGCCGACAUCAAGUUGGAGGAAGGUGGGGUAGUGAUGUCAAGUCAGCAUGGCCGUUUAUAUCUGGGGUCGGACACACACGCUACAAUGGGCAGUAACAAUGGGUCAGCGAAAGGGUCGACCUGGAGCGAAUCUCAUCAAAGCUGUUCGUAGUUCGG
rnacentral:rRNA from 1 species